GCCAGAGUGGUGAAACGGCAGACACGCAGUCUUCAGAAGGCUGUAUCCGCAAGGAUGUGAGGGUUCAAGUCCCUCCUCUGGCA
rnacentral:tRNA from 1 species